ensembl:lncRNA
UAUAUAUGCAUGUUUAGACUGGCCAUGUUUGCUAAACUCUGUUAGGAACGUUUAUAGCAUUUUCUAAGAUUCUAAGUACUUGAGAAAGCAUUCUGUUUUCUCACCGAAGAUCUGUCCCAAGACACCAAUGUAUAAAAGCUCUGAGCUAUUAUUCUGCAACAGAUGGAGAAAGAGGCAUCAUUGCUAAUGCCAUGUGAGGACCAUUAUCCCUAGCAUUUUCUUUAAAGAUUGCCGUAUCGAUCAGAGUCCUGCUUAUUAAAGGAAAUAUUCCGGAAUGUUAAAAGGAAAGAAUGGAAAUGUUUGGAAGGGGGGUGUUGGGACUGAAAGUUGUUGCCAAGCAACAGGAAAGUAGAUCAGGACAGAGGGGAGGGUAUAUAGUUGUCAUUUGAGGAAAAGGAUUGAUCUUAGCUGAUUGUAGUUCACUGAUGUCAGCAGUGACGUCUCAGGAAAGGAAGAAAGCAAGAGGGGACAGGUACAUAGCGGGGAUGUUCAGCCCUGGUUACUGUCCAAAGCUCUUCACACAUUCAGCAGUCCACUGCAGACAGCAACAGUCUCUGUCUUUGACCGUGGGAGAAGGCAGAGGAGUGUGAAGGACACACAAACCCAGGGGAAAAAAAUAAAGCUUCACUACGUACUAAUAUUUGAAAAACCAAAGUACCCACAUAAAACAGGAAAUAACAUCAUAGAGAGGACCCCUGGAGAACCUCAUGUCUGUGUGAAGGUCAACAAGUCUUAUAAAAUGUCAGAUCAUUUUAAUUUUUACGAAGCAUAUUAGUUCAGAAUUUUGUUAAACGACUCAAAAACAUAAGAAUAUUUACAAAUUAGUAAAUCAUGGUAUUUGUGAAAGAAAACUUUUACUGUGAUAUUUAAAAUCUUUUUAUUUCAUAUUUAUUUUUUUAAAGGGGUCAUAUGAUGCGAUUUUAAUUUUUCCUUUCUCUUUGGAGUGUUACAAGCUCUUGGUGCAUAAAGAAGAUCUAUAGAGUUGCAAAGGCUAAAGUCUCAAAUCCAAAGAGAUAUUCUUUAUAAAAGUUAACACUCGUCCACGCCCUCCUAAAAUGGCUCGUUCUAACACGCCCCCACAUCUCAAUGUCACCAUGUGGGAAGAUUUGCAUAAUGCCGCCCAAAUGUUCACGCAAAGAAAGAAGGCGUAACUUUUAUUCUUUCUGUUGCCGCUGCUGCCAUGUUGUGGAGUCGCUGUGUGUUUCAUUGUCACAAAGGCUGUUUCUGUAAAGUGGGGCAGUUCAAACUUUGCAAGGACAGUCUGGUACUUCUGACUGACAGUCUGUAAGUACGUUUACAUAUUUAAAGUAUUUACCACUGAUGAUUCAAACGUGAGUUUUGAGCAGUAGAGUAGCACUUGUUGUUUGUUGUUUCUCAGAUCACAAAUGCAGACAUGGUUUUAUGUUCACGCAGUGCGAUACACAAUGCAAUGCUAAAAAGACAGUAUA